GAGCCUCCGCCUGCGCCUCCCGCCCAACCCCGGCGAGCCUGGGGACGGUGACACCUCGUUCCCGGGUUCCUCCUGGAACUUCUGUGCGACUUUUGUUUAAGAAUGCGGAAAGCGUCCUCCCCUCCUCGCAGUUCAGCCACUUAGCCCGGCAGGCGGUCGCCCACAGAACUCUGUAAUUACGUGCCAUUUCCCUCCCACCCUCCACACUCGGUGCUUAAUUAUAAACUCCCAGGAGCCGAGCACUGCUCCUCCCGGACGCGGUGUGUGGAACUGCUGGGUCUCACUGGCCGGCAAAAGCGUUAGUUAGGCGAUGAGCCUCUCCACUCAGGAGAGUUUAGGCUUUAUUCUUGGAUUCUGUCCCUCUGUGUCACUGUGUCUCUCUCUCUGUCUCUGUCUCUCUUCACACACACACACACACACACCCCACACACACACACAAACUCACAGAGAUCCUCCUGCCUCUGCCUCCCGAGUGCUGGGCCACUGCCGGGCUAUUCUUGGAUUCUUGCUUGGAGGGCUGAGGUUUUGGAAAGCUGGUGAUUGGUUUAGGAAGUUCGGGCGGACGUGAUUUUAGAGCUCACGGAAGAAAGGCCGUGACAUGAGGCCCCUUGCAGUUCAGUUGCUGUGGACAGCCGUGCGCUGCGUGUUCCUUCAGGACAGAAAUCUUUACGUUUCCAGCUCCUACCACCUAAUCAACACACUUUGCAACCAGCGAAUGACUAAAGAGUGAAGUUUGCUGAGAGCUUGGGGCCAUGGAGUUGGCUCAGCUCAGGCGGGUAACAUCACCUGCCGGUCUUGGUGGAGUGAUAACCACUUGAAGAGAUUUGCUCUUGAAGUGUCAGUGAACUACAGAGCCUGUGCUGACUGUGUGGCUAUAGUCAUUCAAAGCCCGUCUUAACACAGUACUUUAACCAUUAAAAGGCCAGGUCUGGACGUUAUUCCAUGUGCUUGCUGGGGUCCAGCACCCAUAGGUUGACUCCCGACGUCCUCUUCUGGCCUCUCUGUGCAUCGGGCAUGAGCAUGAUGCACAGAUACACUUGCAGACAAAACACACAGACACAUAAAAUAUUUUUUUUUUUAUUUUCCCAGAGUUUCCCUGUGUAUCACGUGCUAAAGAAAACAGGUGGAUGGGCUGGUGCGGUGGCAAACGCCUUCAAUCCUCGCACUGGGGAGGCAGAGACAGAACAGGGUGGCAGCUCCAGGCUGGUCCGGUCUACAUGUCAGACCGUCCCUGAAGGAGAAGGGUGAAUGGAGGAGAAGAAAGAAGGAAGGAGGAAGAAGAAUUUGGUGACUAGGACAAAAAGAUAAAAUAUAAACGUAUCAUGUGGAGCCUGAAUACUUGCAAGUAAGGUGUUUGAUCUGCAUGCCCAUCUGCACACCAGAAGGAGGCAUCGGAUCCCAUGGGACUUCAGUUAUGCGUGGCUGUGAGCCACCUUGGGGUGCUGAGAAUUGAACGCAGGACCUCUGGAAGAACAGCCAGAGCUUGUAACUCCUGACCUGUCUCCCAAUAACCUCACACCGACUGGUGAUACAUCUGCUAGUUUUCUUAACAAGAUAUUUACAACAGAGGCGGAAGACAGUCAACAGAUCCGAGAGUCCUUUCCAUGUCAUCUUUCCAGAGCUGUGAGUAUUAGUGGUUAAUGGUAAUUUCCCCCUCCAUUUCAGUACUUUUUCCCUAAUUUUCCAGUUCUGAUAUCUGGGAGGUUUUCAUUCAUUAAUUCAGUGUGGUGGGAAGAAAAUAAAGAGAAGAAAGGCGAGCGGAAACUGCUCUGGUAUCAACACUCCCAUUUCGUUCUUUUCAUCUUUAUGCCCUUGAUAGCUCUGCCAGGCUGGGACACACAGCUCAUUUCUAAAUGUGGUGCCAAGCCACCAAUCAGUGACAGCCAAGCCCUGAGUGUCAUGUAUUUGUGUAUCUGAGAUUGUCAGCAUCCUUCCCAGUGACUCUAAGGAUUCUCAGGCUUCAGCCAGCCUGGAACUCCAUCUCACUGGCCCCUCACUUUGUGCUCACAUGCUCACGGGCACCUUGAACAUACUCUGUCCUGAUCUGAAAAUACAGCUUGACCCCUUUUAUAUUGAUUUCACAAAGUAUUUUAAACAUGGGAAGUUGCUGCCAGCAGGAUUCCAGAGAACAUUUGAGAAUCCUGGCAGAGGUGAUGUUUCCGGACAAUCCAAGGAAGACCAGAUAACCACUUAAAGUAGAAUAUUAAAUGUUGCUUCUUUCUUUUCUUUUCUUUCUUUUGUUUAAGGCAAGAUCUCAUGUAGUUCAGGCUCACACCAGAUUUUCUAUGUAGGGUACAUAGUAGUAAAUGACCUUGAACUUCUGAUUUUCCUGCCUUGACUCUAAAUCCUACUGUCACAAGCAUGUGCUGUUACAUUUAGUUUUAUGCAAUUAUGGGGAUCAGAACACAGGGCUUCAGGCAUGCCAGGCAGGCACUCUACCAACUGAACUGGGGAAGAUUACCUGAGGGGAAGGACCCUCCUCCAGAGAGGACAGCCCUUCCCAGCAGCAAGGAAGACCUAGAAGGCAGGAGGGAAAACCACCCGUUUCUAGAAGAGUGUCCGUGUUUCCUCCAGUCCUGAAGCCGACUGCACCUACACCGCACUCUGCCCCACUGCCGUAUCUGCCCUUGGUUUUCGCGUCUUGUUUUUCUUAUAUCAGAGCUACCUUCUUUAAGCUCGCACCACAGGCUGAAGACCAGUGGCGCUCCGCGAACCCUGCACAACCUCAGCACCAGAUUGGAACUGAUUAGGCAUCCAGCAUUUUGGACUCAGCAGCUAUUCAGCAAGCCAAACUAAUAAAUCCCUAU